UCGCCUGGGCAUUUUCUAGUUACUUCCUUGGAGCCAGCUCUGCCAUCUUGCUCUUGAAAACCGCAAGCUAGCUGCCUAGGUUCCCAUGACAGAGUAUGGAAGACAACCUCCACCUGGCCGUUACACGGACCCAAGAGCACAGAGCAGCUGCCACCUGGAACCAUGACAACAGCAGUAUCAGGAAGAAGGAAAAUGUGCAAAUUACAGCUGUCACCUGGACUUGACCCAUGUCUCUCCCAUUCUCUGGCCUUCAGCACCCAAAAUGCAUCAAGGGUCAGCAGGUGCUGGUUUGAACUCAGCGCCUCAAGUAUUCUAAGUACAGCCUUCUUUUAUCUUUUCCUUUCGACACCGUCUUGCUCGGUGGCCCCGGGGAAGGUCCAGGCAGGGCCUGCAUCUAGAGAAGUACAUGGCAUGAUGUUCUUUUCGUUGCGGUGGGAACCUUGCUCACUUCCCUCUUCACUCGGUCACGCGUACUCUUCUGUGAUCAUGCCGUGACUUAGACUUUCUUAUUUCUAGACACUUAGUCACCUAGGUAGCUUCUUGUGUGUGGGAUGAUAAUCAAUUCUGCAUUCAUCAGUGACACCUGCCAGGCACUUGCUAUGUGCCAGGCUCUGUGGUAUGCACACUGCAAACAUUAGUAAAUGGUUAACCUGGGUAACAAUGAAACUCCCUUACAGCCUGUGUGGGGAGAUGAGGAAACCCAGGUCCAGAGAGGGACCAAGCCUCGAACAGACAGCCUGGCCCAUGUGCAAAGCAGGAGCAUGUGGCUUUACCCGUGUCACUGGCCAUUUCUGGAUGACAAUCGGGGGCAUUUCUGUGGUAGUCCCUCCAUGAGCACCCUGACCAUUCCCUCAAGCACCUUAACCUUCAUUCCCUUCCACCCAGCUGAGACAAUUCACUGUAGCCGCAGGCCAUGUGGAAUGUUCUGUGUGUCCCACCUUCAAUCUCAUAAGGGAAAACUGUGUUUUCAUGGAUGUUUGAAUAUUAAUUUCUUUUGUUUCUGCUGCAUCUCAGCAUUUUCUUGGGUUUAUUAGUAUUUUGUAUUUUCUUGGAGG